UUGUUCACAAUGGGCGCAAGCCUGAUGACGCAACGCCGCGUGGGGGAUGAAGGUCUUCGGAUCGUAAACCCCUGUCGAAUGGGACGAAUAGCUUCCGGAUUAAUACCCCGGAGGAAUGACGGUACCGUUAAAGGAAGCCACGGCUAACUCUGUGCCAGCAGCCGCGGUAAUACAGAGGUGGCAAGCGUUGUUCGGAAUUACUGGGCGUAAAGGGCGCGUAGGCGGCCAUCUAAGUCAGACGUGAAAUCCCCCGGCUCAACCUGGGAACUGCGUCUGAUACUGGGAGGCUAGAGUUUGGGAGAGGGAUGUAGAAUUCCAGGUGUAGCGGUGAAAUGCGUAGAUAUCUGGAGGAAUACCGGUGGCGAAGGCGGCACCCUGACCAAUACUGACGCUGAGGCGCGA
rnacentral:rRNA from 1 species